AGCAGCCGCGGUAAUUCCAGCUCCAAUAGCGUAUAUUAAAGUUGUUGCAGUUAAAAAGCUCGUAGUUGAACUUCGGGGUUCACCCAUUGGUCAGGCUUAAUUGUCUGCACUGGUGAGAUGAGUCUCUAUCUUCUGAGGAACUUUCAUGUCAUUAAUUUGGUGUGAUGGGAAAUCAGGACUGUUACUUUGAAAAAAUUAGAGUGUUUAAAGCAGGCUAACGUCUGAAUACAUUAGCAUGGAAUAAUGAAAUAGGACGGACUGAUUCUAUUUCGUUGGUUUCUAGGAUCACCGUAAUGAUUAAUAGGGAUAGUUGGGGGCAUUAGUAUUCAAUUGUCAGAGGUGAAAUUCUUGGAUUUAUUGAAGACUAACUACUGCGAAAGCAUUUGCCAAGGAUGUUUUCAUUAAUCAAGAACGAAAGUUAGGGGAUCGAAGACGAUCAGAUACCGUCGUAGUCUUAACCAUAAACUAUGCCGACUAGGGAUCGGACGAAGUUAAUUUUAUAAUG
rnacentral:rRNA from 1 species